UUAUGGUAAUUGGAAGGAGUUUCAGGAGAGACAUGAGUAUAGUCAGGAGGAAGAAUGAUGAUUGUUGAAGAGAAGAAUGCAAGACUUAUUCAUAGAGAAGAGACAAGUUGUUUGCCCUUUUUGUCUAAUCCGGAUGUGCGAAGGAACUUAUUAAUCGAUGGAGAGGGUGACAAGUCAAAUGGCAAUAGGAUAUAUUGUUGUGUAGGCGUGCCACCAGCGCUAAAGCUAUCGGAAGGAUGAUUAUCAAAAGGAGAAUACAAGAGUAGCAUUGACCUAGACUUGCGGCUGAAAGUAGGAUGAACACAAUCCAAUUGUAUCCAUUUCUGUAUCUGAUUUUGGUCA
rnacentral:lncRNA from 1 species